rnacentral:lncRNA from 1 species
GCAGAACUUGGCACACCGUAGACAAUCAAUAAAUGUUUAUUGGAAGGGAUAAUGAAGGAAUAUCCUCUCACAGUGUGCUGUGAGAGAUAAACGAGGGAUCGGACAGGACCGGAUCUGCUUGCAAGCUGCAGAGUCCAAUGCAAAUGGCAUCUACUGUCUCGCUGAGGUACAGCUGGUGUUGCUAGCUUGGUGACACUGUGAUUUCCAACCUCUCCUUUUGGCUGUCAUUUUACUAUUGCUAGAUGGCCACUGAAGCUCCAGACAUCAAAUCCACAUUCCAGGCAGACGGAGAUGACAAAAAGCAAAAGGAAAGAGGAAACAGCAGUAACAUUCACCAGUUUUUAGGACAAUAAAAUAUUUUCUUAAUGUGUAAGAGCACAUUUCUGCUUUGAUUUCCCUGUGGGGAGCUGUUCACCCGAGCAUCCAGCAGCUAAGGGUUAUGGAGAGUCAGCAUCUCCUUCACUGAUACUCCACAGGUGAGGAAGGGAGUGGUGGGAGACGGGAUCACAGAAGGAGUAUCGGCCCCAGAGAAUAUGUGGGCUGUCCACUCUAUACAGGAAGCGUAAAGAAACCCCAAGAGGGGUAGCUGUGCCUCUCCACUGUCACUGGCCUCGCUCAGCCUCACAACCCUGCAUGCCUGUUGUCAUAGAUUCUCUGAUCUUCUGGAACACGCAUGCAGAUAGCCACAGCCCUGGUUUCUUCCCUUCCUUCUUGUUUCUUCAAAGCACUGAAGCUUAAAAAAAAAAAAAAACUACGUCUUUCAACGUGAACCACGUCCUGCUCUCAUUAAUUCCACCCUUGGGGACUUAGCUGCCAGCCUAAAGGAAGCUGGUGACGAUGCAAGCCAAAGGUCCCCCGGGCCUGUAACCAAGUCAUUGCUAAGGACUCUAUCAAGGACACUGAGAUGGAAAUGCCGGGAGAGCCAGCUGCAGAUCUUGGGCAAACCCUGGAGUGGCUGAGGGAGGAGCUGGUCAAUUCCUCCUCCCUCUUGGUUGCUGUGCACACAUAUUUUGGGAUGCCUUUUUUAUUUUGUGGCCUGGAGAAAACACCACAGUGAAAGGCAUGGUGGUGCCUGGCUUCCCAGGUAACAUGGCAUAGAUAUUCAGGAGAAUUAGUGACCCAUGGGCAAGCCUUUACCAACUGGAAACCCCAGGACCUUGCAUGUGAAAUGUUAUUCCAUUGAGUCACAUCCCAGCCCUCUUAAACACUAUUAUUAGUGGAAGAAUAAUUUUAAUAAUUGUCACUUGUAAAGAGAGGCAAAGCUUGAAAGUCUCGUGCCUCACGCUAUAGUGGUGCUAGAGGUCAUUCCUAGGAUUCUGUUGUGCCUGAGUUCCUGCCUCAUCCCUUGAACAUCUGCAUCUCUGAACCUGGGCUAGUGCUCCUGGGUUCUAUAAAUAAAGAAGCAGGCUGAAAAAGUCACGGUGAGCAAGCCCGUAAGCAGCACUCCUCCACAGCCUCUGCAUCAGCUCCUGCCUCCAGGACCCUGCCUAGUUUGAGCUCCUGCCUUGACUUCCCUCACUGGAGUGUGACUCAGGAUGUGUGAGCCAAAUAAAUCUUUGCGUUACUGAAACAAUCGAUGCUGGUCAGCUAGAGCUGAGAAAUCAGAGGUGAUUAGGAAGAGAACGGCAUCGCUGAGGCGAAGUGAACUGGGGUGUGUUUCCUCAGACAGAGCACACAGAAGCUGUGCUCCAGGGACAGCUGAACUUGGGUAGUGUAAGAGACACCCAGUGGCACUGGCCUUGAAGCCAUGAACAGCUGAGACUUUGCACUGCUGAGUGGCCAGGAAGUGUCAUUGGUGAAGGUACAGCUUCAACAGCAGUUGAAGAUGCAGGAUUGAAAGGGUCAUGCUGAGAAGUUGAGGCUUGGCAGUGUGCAGAGUGCCCAGGAGAGGCUAUUGGUGGAAGUGAAGCCCAGUUGCAGAAGAAGACCCCGGCAUUUUGGAGAUGCCUGUCCAUGGGAUGACCACCAAGAACGGAGCCAGCUAGAUCCGGGAAGACAAGCCGUUGUGCUGCAGAGGGUGGGGCCAGAACAAUACCCAGCUCUUUGGAGGAGCCUAGAAGAUCUGAGCGAAUCUGAGCCCAGGCUGAGAUGCAGAUCCAAGACCAGCAGCUACUGUUCACACUGAGGCAUCUGCACAGCCUCCUGGAGGAGCUUCGAGCUGAAAGCACCCACUGGGUGGACACAAGGCCCAGCAGAAGCACAUCUCCUUUCCGAGUGAGGCUGGGAUCAGAGGGCAGGGCCUGCCAGCCUGUGCCAAGGCAACUGCCGCAGCUGCUCCAAGAGGAAAAGAACAGGCGAAGCUCCCUUCCUUAACCAGCCAGAGGAUGCUCAUUAAAUUCUCCUACUGCUAGUAUAAAUUGUGUCUGCUAUGUGUCCUUGAAUCUGUCACUUCUUAACUAUCUCUGUCAUUUGCCAGAGGGAGAGUGUGUGUGUGUGUGUGUGUGUGUGUGUGUGUGUGUGUGUGAUAAAUUAUAUGUUUUAUAAGGGUUUAUAUAGCUUUCACCGAGGGUGAUAAUUCUAGCUCUAGUAAUUUUUCACAGGGCAAUUGUUAAAGAAAGAUUAUAAUGUGCAAAGAUGGUUGGUUACCUACUGUUACCUUGCUGAAAAAUCAGAACAUCUAUAGUGACUUCCUGACUAUUCUCUGUGUUCCUGUUAGGCCCUCUUGUCCCCCUUUAUCUGAUAAUGAAAAGUCCUGUUGCACCACAGAUCACAGAGACAAGCAUGUCAAACAUAUAAUUCAUGUUGGCUCUAACAUUGUGAUUCAUGAUUGGCUUAAUUCAUGGGCAUGUGACUCAACAAAGCCAACCACAACCCUUCCCUGGGAUUGCUAUCUGGACACUGCCAACCACACUCCCACAGGUAGUUCAAUUUCUUUUAGGCUGUGUUGACCUUUGCCAAUAAGCAGUGUAGGGUUAGACUCCAGAGCAAGGGGUGAAAGGAGAGACUGGUUCCUUUGUCCCCUGCAGUAUCUUAGAGAUCUCUUGCAACCCUCGAUGUCACCCACCAGAGCUGCUUCACUUCAGUAGGUGGCACCAGCUCUGAGUCUAAGACCCAGUCUGGAGGCCCCUUCUAAGCUCAGACGCUCCCCCUGCCCCCUUCAGAUAUCUGCAGGCCAGCUCUUCAGGCUCCCGUCUGUGUGGUUUAAAUUUUAAUCCCUCAGCUUCAUUGCUCCCCAGCACUGGGGGUGGCAGAUUCUUCCUGUAAUUGUUAGCUUGGAGUUCUUUUUAUAACCUCUCGUCUAUUCAGUUGACUUUAUACUUAGUUAAUAAUUCUUUAUAUUAAAUUCUGUGCUUCAAAAAGAAGAAGUAGAAGAAGAAGAAGAAGAAGAAGAAGAAGAAGAAGAAGAAGAAGAAGAAGAAGAAGAAGAAGAAGAAGAAGAAGAAGAGGAGGAGGAGGAGGAGGA